rnacentral:rRNA from 1 species
UACGAAGGGGAGCUAGCGUUGUUCGGAAUUACUGGGCGUAAAGCGCACGUAGGCGGACUAUUAAGUCAGGGGUGAAAUCCCGGGGCUCAACCCCGGAACUGCCUUUGAUACUGGUAGUCUCGAGUCCGGAAGAGGUGAGUGGAAUUCCGAGUGUAGAGGUGAAAUUCGUAGAUAUUCGGAGGAACACCAGUGGCGAAGGCGGCUCACUGGUCCGGUACUGACGCUGGAGGUGACGAAGCGGUGGGGAGCAAACAGG